rnacentral:misc_RNA from 1 species
GAUGAAGAACGCAGCAAAAUGCGAUAAGUAAUGUGAAUUGCAGAAUUCAGUGAAUCAUCGAAUCUUUGAACGCACAUUGCGCCCGCCAGUAUUCUGGCGGGCAUGCCUGUUCGAGCGUCAUUUCAACCCUCAAGCCCUCGGGUUUGGUGUUGGGGAUCGGCGAGCCUUUCUGGCAAGCCGGCCCCGAAAUCUAGUGGCGGUCUCGCUGCAGCCUCCAUUGCGUAGUAGUAAAACCCUCGCAACUGAAACGCGGCGCGGCCAAGCCGUUAAACCCCCAACUUCUGAAUGUUGACCUCGGAUCAGGUAGGAAUACCCGCUGAACUUAAGCAUAUCAAUAAGCGGAGGA